rnacentral:rRNA from 1 species
CCAGCAGCUGCGGUAAUUCCAGCUCCAAUAGCGUAUAUUAAAGUUGUUGCAGUUAAAAAGCUCGUAGUUGAACUUUGGAUCUGACUAGCCGGUCCGCCGCAAGGCGAGUACUGGUGUGGUCGGACCAUUCCUCCUGGCUAACCUUAAUGUCCUUUACCGGAUGUUUUGGCGAACCAGGACUUUUACUUUGAAAAAAUUAGAGUGUUCAAAGCAGGCCUUCGCUCGAAUAUAUUAGCAUGGAAUAAUAGAAUAGGACGUAUGGUUCUAUUUUGUUGGUUUCUAGGACCGUCGUAAUGAUUAAUAGGGACAGUCGGGGGCAUCAGUAUUCAGUUGUCAGAGGUGAAAUUCUU